rnacentral:rRNA from 1 species
GAUGAACGCUGGCGGCGUGCCUAAUACAUGCAAGUCGAGCGGACGGACGAGAAGCUUGCUUCUCUGAUGUUAGCGGCGGACGGGUAAGUAACACGUGGAUAACCUACCUAUAAGACUGGGAUAACUUCGGGAAACCGGAGCUAAUACCGGAUAAUAUUUUGAACCGCAUGGUUCAAAAGUGAAAGACGGUCUUGCUGUCACUUAUAGAUGGAUCCGCGCUGCAUUAGCUAGUUGGUAAGGUAACGGCUUACCAAGGCAACGAUGCAUAGCCGACCUGAGAGGGUGAUCGGCCACACUGGAACUGAGACACGGUCCAGACUCCUACGGGAGGCAGCAGUAGGGAAUCUUCCGCAAUGGGCGAAAGCCUGACGGAGCAACGCCGCGUGAGUGAUGAAGGUCUUCGGAUCGUAAAACUCUGUUAUUAGGGAAGAACAUAUGUGUAAGUAACUGUGCACAUCUUGACGGUACCUAAUCAGAAAGCCACGGCUAACUACGUG